CUGAAGAUACAGCAAAGGGCAAUGCAGAUAAAGCUUCCUUCUCUCAUGUGAAUGGGGGGAAAAAUAACAAUGCCCAUUUGUUCAUUUCAUGGAGCUAGGAUUCUUCCCAUUCCCCUGUUCCACACCCUGCCCCAGAGCAGCCCCAUUCUGGCAUGUCUGCAUCUCCCAGCUAUGAGUGCUGAUUCUAAGGGAAGACCACCAGCCUGAGCUCCAGGAUGGCUCAGAACUUCCCUCCCUGCCACACCCUAAAAACCCCAUCCAUCUAGGGCCAGUCACUGGAGGAGGGGGUGCACCACAACAGACACCAGAGUAGUCACUCGAUGCCCAGUCCUUGUUGCUCCCAGCUCACCAGUCUUCCAGCCCAGCAGCCCGAGUGGUCUCUAUAAACCUACCCUGGAUGGGGUUGCACACCCACCUUCUAAAAGCUCACUCAUUGAAAAUCAGACCCUCUCUCUUCCUCUUCCUCACUCACACAAGGCCUCAUCUCCCUCCUCCGGUCCCCCCUCUCUCCUCUCAGCCUCCCUGCUUCCUCCCAGCCUCCUUACCUCCUCUUAGUCUCACAUCCCUCCUCCCAGCCUCACCUCCCUCUUAUCGCCUCACCUCCCUCUUCUCAGCCUCCCCUCCCUCCUCACCUCCUCAGCCUCCCUGUCUCCUCCUAGUCUCACCAACUUCCUCCCAGCCUUACUUCCCUCUUCACAGCCUCACCUCCCUCUGCCUCAUCUUCCUGCUUCCUCCCUGCCUCCUCUUAGCCUCACCUCAGGCUCCUAGCCUCACCUUACCCAGUUCUUUAUCUCUCUAGGCCUCCAUUCCUUCUACCUGAAUCCAGGAUGCUCUUCCCCCAUCACUGCCAGCGUCAAGCUAGCCCUUCAGAUCCAACUACAUCGUGAUUUAUACUGUUUUGGGGGACACAGCAAUUAUUUGCCUGAUGUCUACAUCUCCUACCCACUGAAAACUCCAUGAAGGAAGCCUUGGAGAUAGGUACAGCCACAAAAGUGUACAGCAGGGCAAGAUCACAAAAGCCACAGCUAUCUGACUGAAGGACCAUCACAGGAGAUCCAUAAGAACAGGAAAGUACUGGGGAUAUCACACAGAGGGAGGAGCUUGGGAAAGCAGUUCCAUCAAGUUGUUUAUAAACUUCUGGGACACACCCCUGAGCUUCUCAUAAAAGGAUAAGAUACUAAACAGGAUGUAAAAAAAAAAACCUGUGAAAACAAAAUUUAAAGACAAGUUACCAUCCAGAUUCUAGACUGGUCACUGGGUGAUACACA